ensembl:lncRNA
GUACUUUUUCUCAAGUAUGACAAUGAGGUACUUUUUCUCAAGUAUGACAAUUAGGUACUUUUUCUCAAGUAUGACAAUGAGGUACUUUUUCUCGAAUAUGACAAUUAGGUACUUUUCCUCAAGUAUGACAAUUAGGUACUUUUCCUCAAGUAUGACAAUUAGGUACUUUUUCUCAAGUAUGACAUUUAGGUACUUUUUCUCAAGUAUGACAAUUAGGUACUUUUCCUCAAGUAUGACAAUUAGGUACUUUCCCUCAAGUAUGACAAUUAGGUACUUUUCCUCAAGUAUGACAAUUAGGCACUUUUCCUCAAGUAUGACAAUUAGG